rnacentral:rRNA from 1 species
AUGGCUCAGGAUGAACGCUAGCGACAGGCUUAACACAUGCAAGUCGAGGGGCAGCAUAAAAGUAGCAAUACUUGGUGGCGACCGGCGCACGGGUGAGUAACGCGUAUGCAACCUACCUAUCGAGAGGGGAAUAACCCGGCGAAAGUCGGACUAAUACCGCAUAAAACAGGGACACCGCAUGGUGAUAUUUGUUAAAGAAAUUCGCUGAUAGAUGGGCAUGCGUUCCAUUAGGUAGUUGGUGAGGUAACGGCUCACCAAGCCGACGAUGGAUAGGGGAACUGAGAGGUUGGUCCCCCACACUGGUACUGAGACACGGACCAGACUCCUACGGGAGGCAGCAGUGAGGAAUAUUGGUCAAUGGGCGAGAGCCUGAACCAGCCAAGUCGCGUGAAGGAAAGAAGGAUCUAUGGUUCGUAAACUUCUUUUGCAGGGGAAUAAAGUGCAGGACGUGUCCUGUUUUGUAUGUACCCUGAGAAUAAGGAUCGGCUAACUCCGUGCCAGCAGCUGC